AUGGUGGUAACUGAGGACGAGGAAUUGGCACAAACACCCGGCACGGAAGGGCUUCAAACUAUAGAGGACAAGCUAACAAUGCCCAUGCAUAUAAACAAACAUAUACGACGGCAUAACAAGCCUAAGAUAGCACGAGACUAUGUUGUUUCUCCACAAGAUUAUGCCUGCACUGGCGAUGAUUGGUCCGUUAUACAAAAUAUCAUAUCCGAAACCAGCAAAGAAAGAAAUUUAGUGAGCAUCGGCGACGCAUUUCUGAAAAAAAGACAUUUACUAUCUCUUCUAACUCCCAGAGAAUGGGUUGGCGACGAAGUAAGUAUAUUAUUAUUAUUAUUAUUAUCGCAUUAG
rnacentral:rRNA from 1 species